UUUUGAAAUUUGGCUUUUAAGUUCAACAACAGUAAAGACGGUGAUGAAUGUAUUAAUUGUACAAAAUUAGCGAAGUUUUUAGGUGAAAAAAUGUGCAACGCAUUGCCCGGAUUUCAGGCGUAUACAGUGGGUCGCUGCAAUAUUUGGAAUCGUAGGGGUAUGUCGUAGACAUGAGCUCCGAAAAUUGAGUAUUUCAGACAUGGAAGAAGUAGGUUCAAUAUUAAUUGUAAAAGUGCAACGUUCAAAAACUGACAAGGAACGAAGUUUUGUCAUUAGAG